GUUCGGAGAAGUUCCGCACGUCGGGAGCUUUGCUGAUGACAGGCAGUCUGGGCUUGCAGUGCCACUAAGUGCAGGUGAGGAGGGGACAAAGGAUGUGACAGCCAGAACGAUGUGGCGGUGGCCCAAGAGUAGACAAGCUGACUUUCCCAUCAUGCUGCCUGCAACGAGGAGGAAGGAGAAAUCCAAGGAGC